rnacentral:rRNA from 1 species
UGGGGAAUUUUGCACAAUGGAGGAAACUCUGAUGCAGCGACGCCGCGUGAGUGAUGAAGAUCUUCGGAUUGUAAAACUCUGUCCUUAGUGAAGAUAAUGACAGUAACUAAGAAGCCAGCCCUGGCUAAAUACGUGCCAGCAGCCGCGGUAAUACGUAUGGGGCAAGCGUUGUCCGGAAUUAUUGGGCGUAAAGGGUACGUAGGCGGUUUAAUAAGUCCUAAUUAAAAGGCUAUGGCUCAACCAUAGUAUGGUUAGGAAACUGUUGAACUUGAGUAGAUGAGGGGAAAGUGGAAUUCCAUGUGUAGCGGUGAAAUGCGUAGAUAUAUGGGGGAACACCAAUGGCGAAGGCAACUUUCUGGAAUCAAACUGACGCGGAGGUACGAAGGCGUGGGGAGCAAACAGG